rnacentral:rRNA from 1 species
AUAGCGAACGCGUGCACUUUUCUCCUGGUAGGACGUCGCGAUCCGUUGGGUGUCGGUCUACGGCUCGCAGUGGAGCCCGGACACACGGCUUGCCGUCGCGUCCGGACCUGCGUGUCCCGGCUGACUCGCUCGACGGUAUAAGAAAGGUUUAAGGCCGCUCUUGGAGCGUUCGGCUCGUCGCAAGCGCGCCAGAUGUGUCGGCGAUCGGACCUAGUGCCGGUUCUGACCUCUGGUGACUGUUGGCGGCGAAGUUCUCGAACAGACCUUUGACCGAUCUGCGACGCUAUAGCUUUG